CCGACGUGGACAUCCAGGAGUGUCUCCUCCUGGCUCUGUCCUGGUGGCGUAUGGGAGCGUAGCUCUGAGCUGUGACGUACAGUCCCGUUCCACGCCGUCGGAGACGAAGCUCCGUCCCCGGCUGUCGCUGGUGAGGACGAGCGUCCUGCAUAUUCCUACAUCUUCCCAGAGUCCUUUGGGGCCGUUACUGGGGAGCUAAACCAUGCAGUGCACAAAG
ensembl:snoRNA SNORA73 Small nucleolar RNA SNORA73 family